rnacentral:misc_RNA from 1 species
GUGAAUCAUCAAAUUUUUGAACGCAAAUUGCACUCUCUUCGGAGAGUAUGCCUGUUUGAGGGUCAGCCUAAAAAAAAUCGACAUAGUUGCUGUUACGCGGUAACAUUCGUCGGAAAUUGGGUCAUCUUAAACCUUUGGGUUUAAGCGGCUUAAAAUUUUCUUUACGAUUCUAAGGACGUUUCUAAGAUUUUAUUUUUUUAUACUUUGCAUGUAACGUUCUUUAUUAGACGUGGUCGUUU